CCAAACCACAAUGGAACACAAAGGGACUGUAGACAUCUUAAGCAGUGUUGCUUUAGGAAGCAUUAAUGGUUUUUGUUGUUGUGGUUAAUCAAGUCCAUUUCUCCCAGCUGUCUUCCAGAGCCCUCCCAACCUCCUGUGUAGGUGGGGGUCGGAGGGUGGGGGGCUCAUGGAAGUGUGUUUGGGGUGGUCCUCUGUCACUGUCUAGAAGUACUGCUGGUUGCCUCUAGCAUGUCUGCCUUGGAGAAGAUUCAGGGCUCCAGCAGAGCCAUCAAAUAUCUCUUCUUCAGAUCAACUGGACAAAGGAGGUUGGUGUGCAUAUAUAUACCCUGUCUGCCUGUUGUCCAGAAAAGAAUUCAGUCUUCCCAUUAAGCAUCGCAACAAACUAGUUGGACUCUGCAGCAUUGAGGCAGCCUGGAGUACCUUUGUAGGCUAUGUCCAGGGAUCAGAAGGUCAGCAGGAGUCAACGAGGCUGGGUCACUAGAUCCCCCCAGUGUUGGAGCUUGUCGGUCACAGUGACAUCCAAUGGAUUCAUUAACAUAGCAAUCGGGAAAGAGACUAGAAGGCCCGGCUUCCGGGGAAUGCCACGCUUUUGUUUUAAAUCCCCACAUUGGAUCC
rnacentral:lncRNA from 1 species